rnacentral:rRNA from 1 species
ACACGACUACAUUAGAUACCCGCGUAGUCCUAGCCGUAAACGAUACUCGCUAGGUGUCGGCCACGGUGCGACCGUUGUCGGUGCCGUAGGGAAGCCGUGAAGCGAGCCACCUGGGAAGUACGGCCACAAGGCUGAAACUUAAAGGAAUUGGCGGGGGAGCACAACAACGGGUGGAGCUUGCGGUUUAAUUGGAUUCAACGCCGGAAAUCUUACCGGGACCGACAGCAACAUGAAGGCCAAGCUGAAGACUUUGCCGGAUUAGCUG